rnacentral:rRNA from 1 species
UACGGAGGGAGCUAGCGUUGUUCGGAAUUACUGGGCGUAAAGCGCACGUAGGCGGCUUUCUAAGUCAGGGGUGAAAUCCUGGAGCUCAACUCCAGAACUGCCUUUGAUACUGGAGAGCUUGAGUCCGGAAGAGGUGAGUGGAACUCCGAGUGUAGAGGUGAAAUUCGUAGAUAUUCGGAAGAACACCAGUGGCGAAGGCGGCUCACUGGUCCGGUACUGACGCUGAGGUGCGAAAGCGUGGGGAGCAAACAGG